ACCCACCUUCUACAAAGUACAGUCUCCCUUAUUCCCAAUUCCUCAGAGUUCAUAGGAUCUCGGAUGAUCCGGUACACACUGAAUCUGAGAUCAAUGAAAUGGCCCUGAGAUUCAAGCUCCAUGGCAACCAGUAGGCGCAGCGAGGGACGUGAGUACGUUGCAGCGGCACUGUGCAAUGACAUCAUUACUCCCCGCCAGCGGACAGGCCCGAGGAGAGGAGGAACACGAGGAUUUGGUGGGGUAUAAAGAGAGACACAAACAACAUUGGGGCUUGUGAUUGGUCCUGCUGCUCAUUAGCUAUUUGGAAUUCAGCCGGUUGGUGAGAGAAACUGAUUAACCCAUUGCAAAACAGAUAGGCUCUGGCUCGGGAACGUCUUAGGAAAAUAGUUUUGCAGUUGAUAUUGCAGCAUUAAGGUCAAUACACCAA